UGGGGAAUUUUGGACAAUGGGGGAAACCCUGAUUCAGCCAUCCCGCGUGUGCGAUGAAGGCCUUCGGGUUGUAAAGCACUUUUGGCAGGAAAGAAACGUCAUGGGUUAAUACCCCGUGAAACUGACGGUACCUGCAGAAUAAGCACCGGCUAACUACGUGCCAGCAGCCGCGGUAAUACGUAGGGUGCAAGCGUUAAUCGGAAUUACUGGGCGUAAAGCGUGCGCAGGCGGUUCGGAAAGAAAGAUGUGAAAUCCCAGAGCUCAACUUUGGAACUGCAUUUUUAACUACCGGGCUAUAGUGUGUCAGAGGGAGGUGGAAUUCCGCGUGUAGCAGUGAAAUGCGUAGAUAUGCGGAGGAACACCGAUGGCGAAGGCAGCCUCCUGGGAUAACACUGACGCUCAUGCACGAAAGCGUGGGGAGCAAACAGG
rnacentral:rRNA from 1 species